UGAAAUAAUAUUGUAAAUAAUGUGCACGUGACUAUCCACCUCUUCAUUAUACCAGUGUUUCAAAAUGCACACCCAAAAGCCAAAAGCAACAAACUCUCAAAAGAAUAAAAAAACUGAGUCAUCUUCCCCAAUUUCUUUAAACUCUCUCUUCUUUCCAGCAACCAUGAAAAUCGAAAUAGGAAAAAUUAUAGACCUAUUCAAGCCCUUCCCACCUGCUGCAUACACGCAAGGCAAGUCGACCACUCUGCGAAGCAAAUAAUGUUGAAGACAUCUGAAACAGAGAAAAAGAAACUAGUUAAAUUUUCUACAUAAUAUUGAAGCGACUGUUCCAUCAGCGUCGACUCGACCUCAGCUCUAGCCAGUGUCCAGCACAUCAAGUUCCAGCAUGGUUAGAACUAGAGCAACAGCAGCACCUGAGUCAGCCGUUGGGGCUGUAGCU